rnacentral:tRNA from 1 species
GCGAUCGUGGUGGAACGGUAGACACGCAGGCUUGAGGGGCUUGUGCCUAACGGUGUGAGGGUUCAAAUCCCUCCGAUCGCACCA